rnacentral:rRNA from 1 species
UGGGGAAUAUUGCACAAUGGGGGAAACCCUGAUGCAGCAACGCCGCGUGAGUGAUGACGGUCUUCGGAUUGUAAAACUCUGUCUUCAGGGACGAUAAUGACGGUACCUGAGGAGGAAGCCACGGCUAACUACGUGCCAGCAGCCGCGGUAAUACGUAGGUGGCAAGCGUUGUCCGGAUUUACUGGGCGUAAAGGGAGCGUAGGUGGAUAUUUAAGUGGGAUGUGAAAUACCUGAGCUUAACUUGGGUGCUGCAUUCCAAACUGGAUAUCUAGAGUGCAGGAGAGGAAAGUGGAAUUCCUAGUGUAGCGGUGAAAUGCGUAGAGAUUAGGAAGAACCCCAGUGGCGAAGGCGACUUUCUGGACUGUAACUGACACUGAGGCUCGAAAGCGUGGGGAGCAAACAGGAUUAGAUACCCUGGUAGUCCACGCCGUAAACGAUGGAUACUAGGUGUGGGGGUUUCAACACCUCCGUGCCGCCGUUAACACAAUAAGUAUCCCGCCUGGGGAGUACGGUCGCAAGAUUA